GACGAACGCUGGCGGCGUGCCUAAUACAUGCAAGUCGAACGAACCGCGACUGAGUGCUUGCACUUGGUCAAGGUGAGUGGCGAACGGGUGAGUAACACGUGGGUAACCUACCUCAUAGUGGGGGAUAACAGUCGGAAACGACUGCUAAUACCGCAUAGGACAUAGGAUCACAUGAUCCAGUGAGGAAAGGUGGCGCAAGCUAUCGCUAAGAGAUGGACCCGCGGUGCAUUAGCUAGUUGGUAGGGUAAAGGCCUACCAAGGCGAUGAUGCAUAGCCGACCUGAGAGGGUGAUCGGCCACAUUGGGACUGAGACACGGCCCAAACUCCUACAGGAGGCAGCAGUAGGGAAUCUUCCGCAAUGGACGCAAGUCUGACGGAGCAACGCCGCGUGAGUGAAGAAGGUCUUCGGAUCGUAAAGCUCUGUUGUUAGAGAAGAACAGCGCAUAGAGUAACUGCUAUGCGUGUGACGGUAUCUAACCAGAAAGCCACGGCUAACUACGUG
rnacentral:rRNA from 1 species